GAUGAACGCUGGCGGCGUGCCUAAUACAUGCAAGUCGAACGCUGGAAAUCUAGCUUGCUAGAUUGAAGGAGUGGCGAACGGGUGAGUAAUACAUAAGCAACCUACCCACGAAGACUGGGAUAAUCUCUGGAAACGGGGACUAAUACCGGAUAGGUAAUCGGAAGGCAUCUUCUGAUUAUUAAAGGUUAAAAACACUGGUGGAUGGGCUUAUGGCGCAUUAGUUAGUUGGUGAGGUAACGGCCCACCAAGACGAUGAUGCGUAGCCGGCCUGAGAGGGUGAACGGCCACAUUGGGACUUGGACACGGCCCAGACUCCUACGAGAGGCAGCAGUAGGGAAUGUUCGGCAAUGGGGGAAACCCUGACCGAGCAACGCCGCGUGAGUGAUGACGGCCUUCGGGUUGUAAAGCUCUGUUGUAAGGGAAGAACGGUAGAUAGAGAAUAUCUAAAUGACGGUACCUUACCAGAAAGCCACGGCUAACUACGUG
rnacentral:rRNA from 1 species